rnacentral:lncRNA from 1 species
UUGAUUUGCAGUGACCAUACCUAAACCGAAGGCGGAUGCGUUCACAGGGAUGCUUCGACUAGGAACGAAGUACUUAAAACUGGAUCCCAUGGCGCUGCCCAACCAAGUCUUUGACUUCUUGUUUUUCGGCCGAAUUUUACUGCUCGAAGGAUCAGUGUCAGGCCUUGGAUCACUCACGAGGACAGGCGCAAACAUUAUAAGGGCAGAAAAUGGCACCUUUUGCGCAAGCAUAGACGUCGGCACCGAGCAACUUCACGUAAACUACACUGCCAUGAUAACUCCAGCCGUAUUUAAUCAUCUGGUUGCGUACAUGUCGGCCACCGUUAGGACAACCAGGAUGACUCUCACUCUCAAUCAGACUGCUGCCGGUGAACUUCAACUUGGUGACUUUAAGCUAUUGAACUUCGAUGGACUGGAUGUUACACUCGAAGCAGUAAAGCACGGCGACUUUCUGAUCAACAGCAUUAUAAAUGCGGCAACGACGAUGUUCAAGAGCGUUUU